CUAGAAAUGAAACCAAACAAGCAAUAUUAAGGCUAUAAAGAACAGAGUGCAGCACGCAAGCAACCAAACUAAUAAUGUUAAAGCCAAGCAUUGAUAAGUUGAAGUCGAUACGAAGGAUGAAUGUGAUCCCACAAACAAUUAACUUGUUUCAAUACAAAGCAAGCAUAAAACAACAAGAACAGAAGAUAGAGAUAACCCACAUUAAAAAUAGAACGUGUAUCCAAG
rnacentral:misc_RNA from 1 species